rnacentral:miRNA from 15 species
CUAUACAGCGUGCUAGCUUUCU